GGACUGUAGCUCAGUGGCAGAACAUCUGCCGAGCAUGCAGAAGGUCCCAGGUUCAAGCCCCAGCAUAUUCA